rnacentral:rRNA from 2 species
CGAGUUUGAUUCAUGGAUCAGAGAGUGAGCUGGCGGCAUGUUUAUCACAUGCAAGUCGCACGAAGGUUUCGGCGGUAGUGGCGGUCGGGUGAGUAACGCGUAGGAAUCUAUCCAUGGGUGGGGGAUAACUCUGGGAAAAAGGAGCUAAUGGCGCAUGAUUCUUGAGGGUCAAAGGCGCUAGUAGCCUGUGGAGGAGCUUGCGGCUGAUCAUCUCGAUGGUGGGGUAAUGACCUGACAAGGUGAUGAUCCACAGCUGGUCUGAGAGGAUGAUCAACCUCAUUGGGGAGGCAGCAGGCCCAGUCUCCUACGGGAGGCAGCAGUGGGGAAUAUUGGACAAUGGGGGCAACCCUGAUCCAGCAAUGCCGCGUGUGUGAAGAAGGUUUUCGGAUUGUAAAGCACUUUCGCCGGGGACGAUGAUGCCGGUACCCGUAGAAGAAGCACCGGUUAACUUCGUGCCAGCAGCCGCGGUAAUACGAAGGGGCCAAGCGUUGCUCGGAAUGAUUGGGCGUAAAGGGCGUGUAGGCGGUUUGUACAUUCAGAUGUGAAAUCCCCGGGCUUAACCUGGGAGCUGCUCGGGAUACGGGCAGCCUAGAGCAGAGAGAGGGUUGUGGAAUUCCCAGGGUAGAGGUGAAAUUGGUAAAUAUUGGGAAGACCACCGGUGGCGAAGGCGGCAUCUCGUCUCAUAACUGCCGUUGAGGCGCGAAAGCGUGGGGAGCAACCAGGAUUAGAUACCUUGGUAGUCCUCGCGGUAACCGAUGUGUGUUAG